rnacentral:rRNA from 1 species
AUGAACGCUGGCGGCGUGCCUAAUACAUGCAAGUCGAGCGAACAGACGAGGAGCUUGCUCCUCUGACGUUAGCGGCGGACGGGUGAGUAACACGUGGAUAACCUACCUAUAAGACUGGGAUAACUUCGGGAAACCGGAGCUAAUACCGGAUAAUAUAUUGAACCGCAUGGUUCAAUAGUGAAGGACGGUUUUGCUGUCACUUAUAGAUGGAUCCGCGCCGCAUUAGCUAGUUGGUAAGGUAACGGCUUACCAAGGCGACGAUGCGUAGUCGACCUGAGAGGGUGAUCGGCCACACUGGAACUGAGACACGGUCCAGACUCCUACGGGAGGCAGCAGUAGGGAAUCUUCCGCAAUGGGCGAAAGCCUGACGGAGCAACGCCGCGUGAGUGAUGAAGGUCUUCGGAUCGUAAAACUCUGUUAUUAGGGAAGAACAAAUGUGUAAGUAACUAUGCACGUCUUGACGGUACCUAAUCAGAAAGCCACGGCUAACUACGUG